rnacentral:rRNA from 1 species
UACGAGGGGGGCGAGCGUUGUUCGGAAUUAUUGGGCGUAAAGGGUGCGUAGGCGGUUUGGUAAGUCUGAUGUGAAAUCUAUGGGCUCAACUCAUAGUCUGCAUCGGAAACUGCCGGGCUUGAGUGUGGGAGAGGUGAGUGGAAUUCCUGGUGUAGCGGUGAGAUGCGUAGAUAUCAGGAGGAACACCUGUGGCGAAAGCGGCUCACUGGACCAUAACUGACGCUGAUGCACGAAAGCUAGGGGAGCAAACAGG